rnacentral:rRNA from 1 species
UACGUAGGGUGCAAGCGUUAUCCGGAAUUAUUGGGCGUAAAGAGCUCGUAGGCGGUUUGUCGCGUCUGCUGUGAAAACUGGAGGCUCAACCUCCAGCCUGCAGUGGGUACGGGCAAACUAGAGUGCGGUAGGGGAGAUUGGAAUUCCUGGUGUAGCGGUGGAAUGCGCAGAUAUCAGGAGGAACACCUAUAGCGAAGGCAGCUCGCUGGUACGACACUGACGCUAAGGCGCGAAAGCGUGGGGAGCGAACAGG